UACAGAGGUCUCGAGCGUUGUUCGGAUUCAUUGGGCGUAAAGGGCGCGUAGGCGGCGGGGUAAGUCUGGUGUGAAAUCUCGGAGCUCAACUCCGAAAUUGCACUGGAUACUGCUCUGCUAGAGGGCUGGAGAGGAGAUCGGAAUUCACGGUGUAGCAGUGAAAUGCGUAGAUAUCGGAAGGAACACCUGUGGCGAAAGCGGCUCACUGGACCAUAACUGACGCUGAGGCGCGAAAGCUAGGGGAGCAAACAGG
rnacentral:rRNA from 1 species